rnacentral:rRNA from 1 species
UACCAGCGGUCCAAGUCGCAGCCAUGUUUAUUGGGUCUAAAACAUCCGUAGCUCGCUUUGCAAGUCCUUUGUGAAAUCUGGCAUCCUAAGUGUCGGGCGCGCAUAGGAAACUGCAAGGCUAGAGACCGGGAGACGUAAGAAGUACAGUUAGGGUAGCGGUAAAAUGCGUUGAUCCUUACUGGACUAACAAUAGCGAAGGCAUCUUACGAGAACGGAUCUGACAGUCAGGGAUGAAGGCUAGGGGCGCAAAACGG